AUUGAACGCUGGCGGAAUGCUUUACACAUGCAAGUCGAACGGCAGCACGGGAGCUUGCUCUUGGUGGCGAGUGGCGAACGGGUGAGUAAUACAUCGGAACGUACCCAGUUGUGGGGGAUAACACAUCGAAAGAUGUGCUAAUACCGCAUACGACCUGAGGGUGAAAGGGGGGGAUCGCAAGACCUCUCGCAGUUGGAGCGGCCGAUGUCGGAUUAGCUAGUUGGUAGGGUAAAGGCCUACCAAGGCGACGAUCCGUAGCUGGUCUGAGAGGACGACCAGCCACACUGGGACUGAGACACGGCCCAGACUCCUACGGGAGGCAGCAGUGGGGAAUUUUGGACAAUGGGGGCGACCCUGAUCCAGCCAUUCCGCGUGAGUGAAGAAGGCCUUCGGGUUGUAAAGCUCUUUCGGCAGGAACGAAAAGGUGGGUCCUAAUACGAUCUGCUCAUGACGGUACCUGAAGGAGAAGCACCGGCUAACUACGUGCCAGCCGCCGCCGUAACAC
rnacentral:rRNA from 1 species